rnacentral:lncRNA from 1 species
UGAGUUGGAGAUACAAAUGUUUGAGGAGCUGCUUCAACAACGGCAACACGGUAAUUCUCAAUACCACGUAGAACUCCUGAUUCCUCGGUGAACUUCUGGAGAACAUCGAGUCUUCCAUGUUCACUCCGCGCUUUUGAGGUGAAAUGACGCUCCUCAAAAACAUAAGGGUUCUCUUUUCUUCCCUCUUUCUCCUCUUCUCUUUCAUGAUGGUCUUUUUCAUACCUCAUUCGGCACCGUAGGCGACAAAGCGCUCUUCCUUCUCCAAAUAGCCACUCACAUGGGCUUUCACACAACUCCUGCAUUUUUUCAUCGCGACGUCCCGUUCCUCUUCCUUCUUCUUUUCGUCCUUCUCCUUUCCUCUCUUGCUCCUCUUUCUCCUUGUAAUACUUCUCACAUCGAUCCAAGCACUCUCUCUUCUGAUCCUCAUCAUAUUGACGUUGGCGUUUACAUUGGUCCUUGCACUGCUUCAGCUCUGGGUCUGUUGUAGCCAAAACCAAGCCAGCACAGAGAACCAAAAGGGAAAGGAGUAGAACAACUAAAGAAAACUUGCCUAGGACAGCCAUUGUACAGAAUUUGAUUCGUGCUUCUUUCUUGAUACAAGGAUUGGGGAAGGUUAUGGCGUUUUAUAGUGGGGCAAGUGAGAAAUGAAGAGGGAUUAGAACAGGCAAGGGAGUUGCAUGCAGGGGGACGAGUGUACUCCUAACGUGUCGAUCAUGCCCAGAACAUAAUGGCCGCGUAAUAGAAUGACGGUAGAUUGCAAGGACAAUUUUAUGUCCUACAGCUGAGAAGUGACAAAAGUUGAACGUUUGCGGAUUGAUCUUAAAGGCUAAUCGACGACACAUCCAUGUGUCUCGGACGUAGACUUAACGUGGCACUACUCUCCCAGACAAUAAAACCUAUGGUCAUUGUUAUCUCAAUUGGAUUUAAGUGAACGCUGUAAUACUAGACUUAGACCUAGAGAUAUAAACGUAAGACUAUUCAAAAAAUUAAAUUAUUCAAAUUUGAACUCAAUUUAUAUUAAUAUUAUUUGAUUUUAUUUGAAUUUAAUUAAAAAUUAAUUUAAAUUAUUUAAAUUUAUUUUAAACUCAAUUAUUACUUAAAUAAAAUUUUAAUUUUAAAUUCAAUUAUUAUUAUUAUUUAAAUAAAAUCUGAAUAAGUUUAGUCUUAUAUAUUUUAAUUAAUAAUUUAUAUAAAACAUAUUUUUUAUUUAAAAAAUUUAAUAUUUUUAAAAAAUAUUUAAAUUUUAAUGUUUAAAUAAAAUUAUAUAAAAAAUUUGAUAAAUAUUAUUAUAGAUAUAUUUUUAUAUUCAAUUAAUUAUUUAUAUAAGCGGAUUCGUCAAGUGUAUUUCUUAUACAUAAAAUUUGAAUUUAAUUCAAAUACGCAACGAGUAUUAUUUUUUAAAUUUAAAUCUAUUUCAAACCCGAUUAUAACUAUCCAAAUCUAUAAUGAUCCGAAAAUCGGACCGCUAUCGGCGCUAGAAUUCAGAUCGACUUAAAGUCGCCGGAACCCGUAACAAGCCUAUUAUAAAUCCUGUGUACCUAAUAAAAUCUCAUACAUAAUCAUACAUUUUCAUAAUCAUUUUAAAUUUUUCAUAUACCAAGCUCAACCUAUGCAUUCAUUAUAAACUGUAUACAUAAAACUCAUACUAGAACUCUCAUCAAAUGCUCUAGUAUGGUCAUCAUCAUAUACAUCAAACUUGGUUUAACAUAACUCAUCAUUUAAAACUUUUAUAUCAUAUUCAUGUUCACUGGGAUUUUCAAAAACAUAAACUAGGGUAAAACACAAAUCUAUCCAUUACAUAUUACAUGUCCACCAUUAUACUAAUACAUUAACAUAUACUAGCCUCUAGCCGACCUCUCGAACUAAUCUUGACCCUGCAAACUUAGGGUUAGGGGAAAGGGAUAUAAGCUACAAGAGCCUAGUGAGCAGAACAGUAAAAACAGUUUAAAAACAUAUGCUCACAUGAAAUGCAUCACAGCACAAACAAAUCACCUUAAGAUGGACUUGUCACUAGUAACCCUCUACAUAAUCCAAUGUGCCCGGCCCACAACGAGAGCUCCUCAGGACUUUCGCUUAAACAUAACAUAACAUAUCCAACUGUGCCAGGGGCGUAGAAUGGACAGCCCUGGUCUUUCCCUUACAUAGUGCCAGGGCGCGUAGAAUGGGAAACCCUGGUCUUCCGUAUCCGUAUCAUAUCAUAACCUGCUCGAGGGCUAGUGGGUCAUUCAACAUUCAUCCACAUCAACAAUAAAUUAUGCAAUGCAUCAAUAAUAAACAUGGCAUUCGUGAUGCAUGAACAUACUCAAAAGUUUGAUUACUUAAAAACGAUAAAUUAGUUUAGUUCUACUCACCUCUGGCUGACGCUUAAUUGACAAAGGAGCAGCUGACUCACUGCUGGCUUCUACGGUCUCUCGGGUCCAAACCUACACAGGUGGACUCAAAUGAGGGGCCAAACAUAACUCUAUCAAGACUCUAAAUAACUCCCCAAAAACCCCCUAAAACAUCACAAAUCAUGCAUAUAAAACAAGCAAAGGAAGGCUGGGCAGAGGACUUUCGGCGGCAGGUUCGGCGGCCAAAGGUCUCCACAGAUCCGAAAGUCGGGGUCCUUCGGGGGCAGGUUAGGCGGCCGAAGGUCCUCCACAAAUUCGAAAGUCAGGGAAUUUCAGGGGCGGGUUCGGCGGCCGAAACUCCCAUCCAGAUCCGAAAGUGCAUGCUUUCGGGGGCAUGUUAGGCGGCCAAAAGGCUGCCUCCCAUGCAAGUUCGGCGGCCGAACCCUGCUUUCGCGGCAGAACCUGGGUUCGCCAAAAUGACAGAACCCGAUUCUGCCUCAUGCAUUUCAAUCCCAAAACUCUCAAAUCCUCACACCCAACUUCCCACAACAUGCAUACUCACUCCAACCUGCAUAAGGGGCAUAAAAACUAACUUAAGCCCCAACAAAAACAACAAAAGCAUCACAUAAGCAUACAUUCAUCAAAAACCCAACUCAAAGCCUAUAACUCUAGAUCCAACCAUAACAUGUAUCUUUACCCCUUAAUCCUUCAUAAAACUUAAUUAAAGACAUAAGAGAGGCAAGGAUCUAGGCUUACCUCUUGGAGAUCUAGGAGUGACAGCAACCCCAACGUGAAGAUGAGUCAAACGGUCUCCAAAGCUAUAUCAAACCUCUAGGUGUACCCCUCCUGUCUCCUCUGAAGACAACCUCUGACCCAUCCUGACAUUUGAACUUGACUACCUUGUCUCUGCAGUCCAAGAUAGCACCAUGGGUAGAUAGCCAAUCCAUCCCUAGAAUGACGUCAAAAUCUGUCAAAUCUAGAACCACAAGGUCGGCGGAUAGGCAUCUCCCCUCAAUAAAAAUUGGACUAUACUGGCAGACUGACUCUGCCACUGACGGGUCACACUUGGGUCCACUGACCCAUAGGGGACACUCUAACCCAGAGACCAUCAAUCCCAACCUCUCGACGGCUCUAGGAGCAAUAAAAGAAUGCGAUGCACCAGGGUCCAUUAAGGCAUAAACAUCAGAACAACCAAUGAUGAGAUUACCUGACACCACUGUGUUUGAUGCAUUUGCCUCCUGCUGUGUCAUGGUGAAGAUCCGUGCUGGAGCUGAUGGACCUUCACCCCUGAAACCCGCUGAAGAAGAGUCCGCCCCUCUCCCUCUCCCUCUUCCUCUGCCACUGGCCUGAGUCGCGGCUGGAGCUACCGGCUGAGCCACACUACCAGAAGCUGUCUGCUGGGACUGUGCUACAAAGUUGCUCUAGGACACUCCCGUGCCAUGUGUCCCUCCUGCCCACAUCUGAAGCAGGCUGUCGUCCCAGCUCGGCAGACUCCCUUAUGCGACUUCUCACACCUCAUACAUACUGUAUUAUCUGCACCCGAGCUCGAGCCACCUCCUAAUCCCAGACCUGAUUUGAUCUUGUUCCAGAACUUAUUUUUCUUGGACUUCCUGGGGCCUCUGUCCCACUUUUUACUGCCUGAAGCUGCUGCACUCAAAGAAGAGGGAUCUAACUUUCCCUCACCUGGGGUCUUGGAACCAGAAGGCUGUGCCACAGACUGUUUGACUUUUCCUUCAAUGAUUGCACUAGCCUCCAUUCUCCGGGCCAUAUCCACUAUGGCAUGGAAACUCUCCCUCUCUGCUGACUAGAUCAAGGAGGAAUACCUGGAAUGGAGCCUCAUGAUAUACCUCCUUGACUUCUUCUGAUCUGUGUCCAGAUUCUGCCCAGCAAACGGCAACAGCUCCAAGAAUCUAUUUGUGUACUCAUCUACACUCAUUUCCUCCGUCUGCCUCAAUUGCUCAAAUUCAAUCAUCUUCAAUUCCCUUGAACUGUCAGGGAAAGCCCAUCUAGCAAACUCAUUAGCAAACUCUUCCCAUGAUAGGCUAUCCAACCUCGGGCUCAUAUAGUUCUUAAACCACUCUCGGGCCUUCUUGCACUUCAGUGUGAACCCAGCCAUCUGAAUGGCUCUACUGUCAUCAGCUCCUAUCUCAUCUGUAAUCAUCUUGACCCUUCCAAGAUACUCAAAUGGGUCAUCACCUGUUUCAUACUGGGGAGCACCCAGCUUCAUGUAAUCGGUCAUCUUGACCUUGCUCCCUCCAGAUGAGCUAGGCUUAGGGACUUGGGUUACUGGGAUAGUAGGUUCUGCUGGUGGCGGAGGAGGUGCAGCAUCCCCUGGGUUAGGGUUUGCUGUACCUGGAUAGAAAGAUGGGGAUGGGUAUGGCAUGUGUGAGUGAUAAGGGUUAAAACUGGGGUAAUCCGAUGUACCUCCCAUCGAAUACCCGGGAUUCUAUGAAAAGGGUGGGUAUUGGGGUGGCUGAACAAAUUCCGAGGCCUGAGUGCCUCCUUGGGACUCUCCCAUACCCUCUUCCGACAUACUCACUCCAAGACUACCAUCCCUUCUCUGAUCCACAUCCAUAUCAUCCCCCACAUCCUUUGACAUUCCUCCCUGAACUGUUCCCCUCACUGAUCUGCUUCUACCCAGAUCCAAAGACCUUCUAGGGUCUCUUACUGCUCUUUCUCUGCUGGACCUACUUGACAUUGCCCUAGGCAAUGCAGGAGGACGGGUAUCCGUGCCCUCAUCCUUGGGUGGUACUCCAGUCAAUCGUGCAGAUCGACGAGUUCCUCUCAUCUUGUUUACUGAAAAACAGCACACAUCACAUAAAACAUUAGCAUCAAAUGGUUCAUGUGAAAACACAUGAACCCGCAUCACAUACAUCACAUACAUAGCAUAUCAUUAAUGCACAUGUAUAUCAUCAUGGCAUUUCACAUCAUCAUUCAAGACAGGACUCUACAUCCUAUCCUAGUGGACAUGAUUUUCCUAUUGUGCUUGACCUUCUAUAACCUCUAUGAGCCCGACACACUAUAGGUCCGACCAUAUGAACCUAGGGCUCUGAUACCAAUCUGUAACGAUCCGAAAACCGGACCGCUACCGGCGCUAGGAUCCAGAUCGGUUUAAGGCCGCCGGGACCCGUAGCAAGCCAAACAUUCAUCCUGUAUACCUGUUUAAUCCCAUACAUGAUCAACACAUACAUAAAAAUUUUGAACUUUUCUUUUCAUUCAAUCUCCAAACUCAACAUGUGCAUGCACUAUUCAUAAUCAUAAACAUUAACCCCACCUUGGAGUCCUUAUCAAUGCUCCAAUGGGGUAACAUAACAUAUAUUAAGUUUGGUUUACAUAAAUAUCAUUAAAAUCAUGUAUUCAAAAGGGACUAACAACAUACUAGGGUCAAGCACAAUUCUAUCCUCAAUAACACCAUUACAUUACAUAACUAUUUAAUACUAUUCAUUACAUUAUUGUACUAAACAUUACAAUUCAAUAUUUAUCAUGUCCACUACUAGCUAUUACAUGACCAUGACAUUACUCUAGCUGACCUCCUGGUCUAUCCCGUACUUGCAAACCUGGGGAAUUAAGGGAGUGGGGUGAGCUACUAGAGCCCAGUGAGCAGAAUAGUAAAACAUUGUAUUUAAAACAUGUAAUAUCAUGGAAUGCAUCACAUCACAAACAAAUCACAUCAAGGAUGAACUUGUCACCAUUUAGCCCUCUAUAUAGUCUAAUUAUGCCAGGGGCGUAGUGCAGGCACGCCUGAACUUCCAUAUCAUAUCAUACAUAUCCAAUCAUGCCAGGGGCGUAGUGCAGGCUCACCCGAACUUUCUCUUACAUAGUGCCAGGGGCAUAGUGCAGACACGCCUGGACUUCCAUAGCAUAUCAUCAUUAUAUCAUGUCAUAACAUAUGAGGGCUAAUGGAUCAUUCAACAUUCAUCCACAUCGACAACGUAAAAUGCAAUGCAACAUAUUCGUGAAUUCUAAUGCAAGCACCCUAAUAUAUCUCAUUGCAUUCAUGAUGCGUGAAUCAUGCUAUAACUUUCAUUACUUACUUUGAAAUAUAAAGAGUUAUUCCACUCACCUUAGGCUAGCUCUGACAAGACACUGAAGCAGUCGUCUCACUGCUGAGGUCCUCGGUUCCUCGGGUCCGAACCUACACAGGUGGACUCAAAUGAGGGACCUAAUAUACAUGAACAUGACUCUAAAAUACUCCCCAAAAACCCCCCCUAAAACACCUCAAAACAAUCAUAGAAAACAUGCAAAGGAGGGCUGCACAGGGCACGGCCGAAAGUCCCUUCGGCUGCCGAACCUGAGUUCUUCCCAAAGGGCAGAAACUCAGCCUCCAACAUGCACAAAUGCCUCCCAAACUUCACAACUCAACCAAAGCAUGCAUAAACACUUCCACAACAUACAUACAUUCAUACAAAAGCUCCUAGGGGCUUCAAACUAUCCUAAACCCCAACUACAACACAUCAAACAUACACAAACAACCCACAUUGCACAAUAACUCAACAUAGACCUAUACAUGCAUUUCUACCCCAUGAAUCAACUUAAAACUUGUUUAAACAUAUAAUGAGCUCAAGAUCGACUCUUACCUUUUGAAGAUCGAGAGAGAGUGUGACCUAACUUGGAGGUUUGGGGAAGAUGGGUUUCUGAGGUCUCCAAGCUUCACAACUUCGAUCUAAGCUCGAAAUCUUCAAAAACCAAGUUAAAAUCCAUAAGAAAUCAUGAAAACUCGAAGGAAGAAGCUCAAAAUCAACAAGGGACGGCGGAGAGCUCACCUUGGCCGAAAAUGGGAAGAAAAGCUCACCCGUUUCGGACAAGGGACCUCUUUAUAGGUGGCUGGCCAGGCCACUUUCGGGGGCCUAACGUGCCUCCGCAUGCAUGCCAUGUUCGGCGGCCGAACUUAAGGUUCGGCGGCCGAACCUGGACUUCCCUCACUUAUGCCUUCGGGGGCCUAAAGUGCUCCCGAAGCGCAUGCAUGUUCGGCGGCCGAACCUGGACUUCCCUCACUUAUGCCUUCGGGGGCCUAAAGUGCUCCCGAAGCGCAUGCAUGUUCGGCGGCCGAACCUGGACUUCCCUCACUUAUGCCUUCGGGGGCCUAAAGUGCUCCCAAAGCGCAUGCAUGUUCGGCAACCGAACUUGAGGUUCGGCGGCCGAACCUGAGUCUUCCUCCAAGGUUAUUUUCAUUCAAAACUUAAUUUCUUUCUUGCUUAAAACCAUAAAAUACAUUAAAACAUUUUAUAAAAAACAUGAUUUUACCCUUCUAGAGGUUUCCGACAUCCGAGGUCCCACCGGACGGUAGGGAUUCCGAUACCGGAGUCUAGCCGGGUAUUACAUAGACUGUAACUCAUAAAUAAUCAGUUUGUUACUGCCUGCAUUGAACCUGAUUUUGAGGACAUCCCAAAACUCUUUGCUUGUCUUGUGUUGCAAUAGAUUUGGACGGAGCUUUUGCUUUACUGUCUAGAUCAUCCAUCCUCGGACAAUGCUAUCACUGACUUGCCAUAGGUGAAUAGCCGGGUCUGUUUCUACUAGAGGAAGGGGGAUCCCAGUCAAGUGGUUUAAUUUUCUCCUCCCUGUAAUAAACAUAUCCAUUGUCUUUGCCCAGACGAUAUAAUUGGAGUCGUUCAACUUCACAUCGGACUACGGUUGUGCUGAAUCAAGAGUAAUUUGAUUUGUUGAUUUCUGAAUUGCAUUUUAGCUAUUCUAAAUUAACAGAAAGAGUUUGUUUAACAGAUCUGCUAUUAGAUCAGUUAUUGCUUAGGAUUGAUCGACUGGACUUUGGUUAGAAGAAUCGGUCAUUGUUGUUUCUCGGUUAGAGAAGAUUGGGAAAUGUAUUCUUGCAAAUGAUGAUUGCAGGAAAAAUUGGAUAAAUUUUUAAAUCGAAACCCGCUCUGAUACUAUCUAGAAUUAUAGGAAGAAAAGUAUUUUUCAUUUUUUUGCUUUCUAUGUAAUAUGAUACAAAAAUUAUAUAAUACAAGAUAUGAUGAAUUAUAUCUAUAAUUAUAUACAUUAUCAAUUAUUGUCUAGAAUCAUAUUAGGAUUAUGCCGAGUAUGGUAAUGUUAAUUACUAAUUAAUUAGAAUUAUGGCACAAUAUUUUUUACCCACUUUGGUUUCUUAUUUCUGAAGCAAACAAUCUUACCUUUAGACAAAAACAAAGAUUCAACAAUCGAAACAGAUGUGAAGAAGCCAAAAAGGAAAGCUGGAAAGAGAAACACAGGCUCGUCUUCCCAAAAUCUAUCAACUAUAAUUAAAAUUAUUUGACCGUUGCCAUAUGCAUGAUCUUAUUUUUCAACACCGGGACCAUGCCACCUUUCCAUGACUUUGAAAUAUUUACUUAAGGUGAAUCUUCUUUUCUUUCACCUGAUUAAAAUUCUUCGCAUGUUGGCUUAUAUUCUGCAUUUCUUUUUGCGACCCUGUAGCUCAUUCAGCUGAGAUUAUGCUUUUAUUGCUUCCCUUUUCUAUUUCCACCUGAUGAUAGCUUCCAAAGCUGACAACGAUAAAGACACCAUUUUUGAAAUUAUUCUCAGUGCUCAUCACAUGCAUUUGUAGUGUAGGAGAGCAAAAAUUCUGCUGGGAAUGAGACAAAACGCAUCCAUUAUAACCAAUCGCCCAAUCCUUACAAAGGUUAUCCAGUUUAAAUAAUUGCAGUUUAUUGUCUGAUUAUUGAUUUAUAAAAACUACAAUUAUUGAUGGCUUUAAUACUAAUGCUGCCAUCUUUCAGGGCCUGACAACCUCAGGACCAUCCACGUGUCAGGUGAUUAUCGAAUAGGGGCAUGUAAUUAUGGAGAAAUUAUUGCAUCUCUAAUUAAUUCCAUGUAAUAAUAUACACAAAUUGCAAAUUAAUUGCAAAAUCAUAAAUAAUUUUUGAUAUUUUCCUUUUUUUUUAUUCAAUAGUUAGUUAGUCUUAAUUCGACAUGAAUAUAAUUUCUGCCAGUGAUCUGAUUUCUUCCUUGGGGCCUUCAGAGCACACGUCUGCGAAAGCGUACGAGUAUGCUGUGCUUACGCAUGCUGCGAUUUUCUUACAGUGGCAGAGGAGGUUUCUUCUCCCACCUGACGUCAACGGACAACUUUCUAUAAAUGUGAUUUAUGAUAUUUCAGCAAUUUCACAAGAACAAUUUCUACCACGAGCUAAAUAUUGCAUUAUUUUUACUAUCUGCAUCACUCCACAUUUCAUAGCCACGCAUAUUAAUUUUUUUUUAAAAAAAAUAAUUUGAUUAUAAUUUUAAGAUCAAAACUGUAUAAUUUUAGAACUGAUUUUGAUGCCAUUUAUAUGAAAGUUGAUUAAAUCUGUCUCUUAUCACUAAAAUUAUUAUAAGAAAUCUUUCCUUGGAGCAACUAUGCAUAUGCAUGGUAGUAAUUCGUGCCAAGUUGAAACGAGUGGUGCCAAUGCACGUCAAUUUCAUGAAAUUAUACAACAAGACAUAGGUAGUGACUAGAUCUUUACACAAACGGAGACGUAAAAUAUGAGAAGACAAGAAGAAAUAGGCGAAAAUGCAGAUAAAUUGACAAGUUGGUCCCGCAAUAUGAGCAAAAGCAAAAACUUGGAUUUUGGGAGUGGGUUCUGAAUCCUGGCAUAAACUUUCACGCUUGAAAGUAAUAACAUAACGCCUACAUUUGGCCUCGCUCUCAGUCUUUGGGAACCUAAACAAACUAUCAAACUCUACGUUUUCAGCUAUUUUCUCUUCAAACAUCAUCAUUCUCACGUGGCCAAAUAUUCCACUAAGCACCAGUUUAAAGGGACCAUAAAUGAACCUCACUCUCACUGGCUGAUGGAAAAAGGAAAACGAGAGAAAAUAAUGAAACCAACUCAUAUGAAAGCGUAAAAGCAAAGCUUGUAGACUAGGAGGGCGUGCAGGCAUAGGCUCUUAAAACGCUGCGCAUCUAGAUAUAAUAAUAAAAGAAUCAUAGGGUGGUGAGCAGAGAAAGAACUGAAGAGGAAAAAACUUGGGUAGGCAAGGCAUAGUUUUUGCAGUUUCCAUGUGAGCAGGGUACCAAAUUAAGCAUUCAUUAAGUAAAGGUGAUGUCAAAAUAAUCCUUGGCUUUAAUUUUUAUUAGCAUUGCUUGUUGAACAAGGCGUGUCAGGACUGAGUAUGUAGCUCAGAGACCGACUACACUACUACAGUGAAUGAUCUCAUUUUGGACUUAAGAGUGUGUCAUGCAUGUGAAGGAGGCAUCUUCAUUCUUCAGUCUUCACCCCCACCCACGUGCAUGCAACUCUUCCUUCUUCUUCUUCUUCUCUCUUAGUCAACCCCUCCUUUUCUACAAUGGUUUUUAGCCAGUCUCGAUUGCUUAAUCGAAAUUGAAAAAUUAUGAGAUUUAAAAGGUACAGCAAGAUUCCUUACAUGUCACCCAUCAUUUGAUUCACUUUCUCAGCAUCGAAGUUUGGGUUAAUUUCGAGAUUUCGAAUGGAAUUCUUUAUUUGGGUAGCCUGCUGGCUCAUCAUUUGCAGUGAGGUCUACAUCAUGCAUUGUCCAUGUCCUUGUGGACCUGAAUUUCUUGAGCUCUUAAUAGGGAGUAGGGGCUUAAUUGAUUCCUGCAUACUGUCAUUCAUAGAAAAAGGAUAUGCAACAAAAUGAUUCUGGGUAAUUAUAGCGAAAAGCUGUUCUUAAAAUGGACUCCUACGGAGGCCAAUGAAUGAUUAAGAUGAGCUCGUGUAAACCAACGAAUUUGGAGAUGGAGAUUUGGAUAAAAUGAGCUUGUAAAGUACAAACUAAACCAUCCCCCGGUGAUGAUGUGGGAUGAAGAAGCUAAGCUUGAUAAUGGGCUGGUUGCAGAGGAAAACCCAAACCAAUGGACCAAUGGGCCUGAACAGUUACAAAUUGUUAGGGCCGCUGGUCCACCAAGAUGAGGAAAGUAGUUGAAUUACCAGCGAACCUCAGCUCUGAACUAUCAGUCGAACGGCCCAUAAUCCACUUUGCAAAAUGAUGGCAGAAACAACAUGAUGCUUUUUGAGAAAUGAGAAUGGAGAUGGAGAAAUUAUAUAGCAGUAUAGUUGUAUUAUGUAGAUAAUUUUACAUGGUAUAUAUAAUAAAUUAAUUAAAAUUAGAUAAAUAGACAAAUUAACAGUUUUUUAAUAAAAAGAUAAUUAUUUUUAUAUAAAUAUCUUUAUCUAUCUAUUUAUUGUACCAUAUAAAGAUCCUAAUAAUUUUUCAAGUACAAAAAAACUUAAUAAUUUUUCAAAAGUGUUCUGAUAUUAUAGGAAAAAAGGUAUAGGAAAACUUUUAUAAGCAUAUAGGUGUAUAUAUAUGGAAGAUGAUUUAACAGGGAUUUUUAUAAUUAACAUGAACUUCAAAGCAGUAGCACUCAGUCGUAAGCAGUAGCACUCUGUCGUAAGCAGUAGCACUCAGUCGUAGGCAGCAGAAUAUGGAGAUGUAAAUCCAUUUACAUAGCCCUCUUCGUUCCAUUAUUUUUCAUACAUAACACUAUUCACAUUACGAAACCCUUCAUUGAUCUCUCUCACAAAGCCAUAACCCAGCAGAAUUUCUCUUGCUAUAUAUAUAUAGCUAUUACCUUUAGGAUCUCAUGCAUCUGCACGACCUUGCUUCUCUUGCUGGCUUGGCCCUGGAAAUAAGAGAUAAUCUGUUUCUUUUUCAAAAAUCUCCUCUACUUCUUUCGCUGGCACACCAAAGGUUAAUUCUAUUGCCUCGCUCUUCAUCUUAUUCACAAUAUUAUUUUUCCCUGAAACAAGCAUGCAUACGUCAAAACUAUAAUUUAAGCUACUAAGGCACACGAAGGAUCAUCUGAGCUUACCUGCAAGAGGAUACUUAAUGUUGCCUUUGGCAUUGGUUCCAAAGCAGACUGCUAUUAGAUCAUUCUUUCUUGAAGCUACCAUAGCGAUCGGAUAGCCAGCAGGGGAGACGAUCACCGACCCAUGUCUCAACGAUGAGCUUAGUUUUUUAUUAGUUGGACCUGUCUGUACGCUGCUUUUAGUCCGAGGACCAACCAUUUCGAAGUAGCCCUCACCAUCCAAAACCAUGAUUAUUGCCGUCGACUCUGAGUUGUAUAAGGGUCCGAGCAUAGAUCCCUAUGAACAGUAAAAAAACAGAUUGGAAUUUCAUGAAUUUCUUCGCACUUUUAAUCAAUUUGUCCGAAAAGGGAGAUGAAUUACUUUGGUGAUGUUGACAAAGCCGACACCAAUGUCAAGGUCUUCAAGCGCUCUGUACUCAGUAGGGCUCACAUAAAAAAUCUGACCGUAGUUGUUAUGAACAAGAGGUUGCAUGUCCAAAAGAUUGAAGGGGGCGGUUGAAUUGCCGCGACCUUCCUCUUCUUGGCUUAGCGCUUGGAUCUGUUCCUUGGAGGCUUUCACAAUGACUUCUGUGUGAUCAGUAGACAUGAUAUGCUCCAACAUCUCCUUGUCAGUCUGGUUGAUGCCCAGAUUCAUGUCAAACAAAGGCUCCAUUAGCAAUCUAAGGACAUCAUACGGAAGUUGAGAUUAAUUAACUACAGGCACACACCUUAAGAGCAGCCUCUAGCAACUCCGGGCUCAAUGCGCUAUAAAAUGAAGCUUCACCGGCUGAGGCGGCAUAGAAAGGCUGCAUCAUGAAACUAUUAUAUUUACACUGUAUGCAUGAGAAAAUUCCAAACUAUAUACAAUAGAAACUUCGUAGCAAUCAUCAGCUAUGGUCGUUUAAUCGUUUGAAAAUUCCAUUUGAAAAUCUUAUUAAUAAAGAAAUUAUAGCGUAAACUUACGGUGUACUCGCUCGGAAAAUUUACAGUUUUGAGGAGACAGACAGUACGAAGUUCAUCAUUUUCGUCCGUAUUAAUCCAAUAGACAGUAGUGCCUGCUUGAACUCUAAUGACAUCUCCUCUUUCAAUGUUAAAGCUCUCUCUCUUUUCCCCAAUAAGAGUUAUAGCUCCUCGACCUAUAUUAUAACAUGGUGAAUAUAUAAGUUCAUGAAACAGCAGAGUACAAACAAGUAUCCAUGGAAAAACAUUGAUUGGAAAAUUUUAUAUACCUCUAGUCACAACGAGAACUACUUCGGCAUCGAAGUGGGUCGGAGUUAAAAAUGUUAGAGGAUUAGCUUUAGCAGCGGCAACACGAAAAUUCUCGAUUCCACUUAGAAGCUUUGAUCUCUCAGAGAACUUUUGAAGAGAAUAAAUGGCUCCAUGUUCAUUCUUGAACAUUGGAGUGAAAUCCUCUACAUUAAAAACGUAAGGGUUCUCAUCUUCCUCGUCAUAUUGACGUUGGUGUUCCCUUUGGUGCUUGAACUGCUUUGGCUCUCGGUCUCCUGUAGCUAUACCUAAGACAGAACCAAAGGAAAGGAUUAAAACAGCUAAACAAAGAUUCCAUCUGGUGGCCAUUUUAAUUACAGGAUCAUUAACUUGUGCCUCUCUCUCGAUGCAAGAAGUGGAGAUGGGCAUGGCGUUUUAUAGUGUAGCAAGGAAGAAAUAAAGAAGGCUAGCUCUUCGUGCAUGGAGACGAAGGUACCUACAUGGAACAGAGAGGGGCAACAACUUUGGAAUUACUUUAAGUUGCGUUCUCGCUCGGAUUAUCAACCUAACGCUCUUGAAUUAAUAAUUUGCUUAUGGGAGAGAGAUGGCAAAGAAUACAAAACUUUUCCUUUUUCUUCUUCUCUUCUUUUUGCCUUGGCAAGAAAGGAAAACUUCAUAAAUCCAGCGGCGGAGAAGUGACGAGAGUGGUGGAUGGAACUGUAAAUAGAAUCUAUGUCAGCUGUUUGUCGUGAUGUUUUAUCUGGGUAGGUUAAUUUAAUUUGCUAGUUCCACACUUAGGUGUUUAGUAGAAUACAACUCUGGAAACAGACAAAUUUACACGUUAGUGUUCGACACGCGUCAGUCGAGUCAUUAACUAUUCAAGUUUAUCUAGGCGUGAGCAUUGGGUUAACCAAUCUCAACAGCAUCAGAAACUUUGUGUGGUGAGUAAGUGAGGCUAAAAUCUGUAUCCGAAUAUGAUUGGUUUAGGGGUAUCACGUUCAUCUUGGUAUUUUUUGGCUGAUGUCCCAUCAGAUUGGACAGUAGUGUGUUGUGACAGAUAUGUCAGGUGACUUAUUAAUAGUGAGCAAUCGGCUAAUAAAUAUUAAAUCGGUUAGCCUAUACCAUGUUCAUUACGGGUGUCAUGUCUGUCAAUUCUAUCGCACACGUAAUUAUAAUCCUAAUAAUGACCCACGAGCUUCAGAGAGGUAUGCUCGUUGACUCCAGACUUUGAAGUGGUUGACCUGCCUAAUCUGAACAAAAGUAAGGUCUAAGGUGUAGGAGGUUUGAUCUUUAUAUCCCCUGAUUCGAACUUUCUAAUGUUCAAUCGGAUCGGAUGAAACGAUACAUAGAGUCUUUCCAUAUCGUGUGUCCACAUGUAGCGAUCCUAAUCAGCUAUGUUAUUCUUAUGUUAUCAGAUGUCCUUUCGCUUCUCCGAAUGUUAUUUAUGAUGGUUGGAGGAUCGAAUCAUAUUCAACGCUUUAUUGCUAAAUGUGAGUCCAUUAAUUUUCUUUGAGUUGUGAGGAGCAAUCAUAAGUAUGCAUGACACGAGCGCGCGACGUCCCAGAAGUGUUUUGAUGGCUAUUGUUGUUUGGGUUACCAAAAUGUGAUGCUUUGAAUGUUCAUUAAUGCCUAAUUUCAAGUAUAAAUAUAGGGUUUUGCCUUUACUUUUUUACUUUUGCUGCUCCUGUUGCACUUGCACACUAUUCUUAGGGUCAUCCUCGUUUCUUCCUUCUUCUUCCAAACUUUUCGAGUUACAAGUAUGCAUCCCUCCUUCGAUGGCUCCUCUGUCACACUCUCAGGUUGAGAAAAUAGUUUCUAGGGUCACCUCCAUCUAUCUUUUGGAAACUUUCCCCGAGCCUUCCUCUCUACGGAGACCCAUUACAUUCGGGCUUCAAAAUUCCAAUGAACGGAUUGCCUUAUUCUCCUUCCCUCAUCCUCCUAACCUAAUGGAUGCCUAGUCCGAGAGAAAACUUGUUUUCUAUUUGAAACAGAUUGAUUCUGACCUUUCUUUCCCAUUUUAUGGGUUUGUUCAUUCCGUCUUUAGGUUUUUCCAGGUCACGCCUCGAAUGCUGACCACAAAUUUAAUUCUAUUCAUAAGUGCCUUCGAGGCAAUGUGCCGGAGUUGGGGCUUUGCUCCUUCCUUAGGUCUAUUCUGAGCCUUCUUCAAGAUUUUAAAGGCCAACAAUGUUUCUUGAACUUCUGUGGUAGGAAUGGGUUAGCCAUUUUCACCGGCUAUAAAGACUCCAUCAAGCACUGGGUGGAGCAUUUUGCUAUAGUGGGAUUCAAGGGGAGCUUCAACUGGGGCUUAGAGCUAGGAUGGGGGGUUGUUGACACUUUUUGCAACUCUUUCGGAACAGUUGUAUUUUACCAGAAUUACUUUCCUGCCUUUCAAAUACGAUGUCUUCAAGUGUUUGGAUAUCCGCUUGGGGGAGGGUUGUUAUUCUGCUAGUACUGAUCAUUUUUCAUGUCGUUGCUUGCUUUUUAAUUGCUUUGUCAUUCUGUGUUUUUAAUUUGUUUUUGGUGCUUUUUGUAGCUUCCAUAGUCCCUAUGAAAAAAAUCUCAACACCUUAGAAUUUUUCUCUCAAUCGGGAUAUCGUCCAAGAUGCUAUUGAAGCUUUUAAAACUAGGAAGACUAUGAAUGUGGUGGUGAAGAUGCGGGAGGUGGAGCAUACCCUAGCCCAAGCCAUCCUUCCUUCGUCUUCUGCUGGGGCAAACUUGGAGCUAGCCUUAGUUGGCUCCAACCAUACUGAGGUUGUCCCUACUGUAGCCAAGGAUGCUCCUACUCUCAAAGGUAGCUCGAAGGUUGCUAUUCUGAGAGCAGUGGUCAGCCUAGAACUCGAGAGAGCUUGAAAUAAAAAAAAAAUUCUCGUUUCAAUCAGGAGACGACCACUGUUGCUGCACAGACGAACAACAAAAAGAGAAGGCAAGUAAAGGAGUUUGACCUGGUCCCCUCCCGAAAGGGAGCUUCGUCUUCCUUACUUCUAAGAAAACCUUCACCGAACAAAGCAAGUAAAAGCAAGGGUAAGGAAAGCUCGUCUUAGGGGGGCUAGUGAUGAACUUUCAACCGCCUUGAUUUCCAACGAGUCAGGGGUACAUUUUCAACUGACUCUUUACUCCACACCUACUUCUAUUGUCAAGCUGCUUAGUAAUAAUGUCUUUGGCCGUAUUCGAAUCCGACUAAUCCUCAGAUGGCGAGCAUAGUUUGCAGAGUAAUUUAGUACAUUAAGCAGUCGACUUCGUUUACUGCCCAGACAAGAGAGAAUCUUUUUGGUGCCUCUAAAAGACAAAUCCUUCUUGUUAGUUUUCUUACUUUACUCUUGCUUUGAAAUUUUUGGUCAUUUUCUUAUUUAUCGUUUUGCCAUGUAGUUUCUUAAUGCUCUAGUAGAGUUGGGGAGCAAGAUGGUCAGAUCUCGAGAAGUUGCCCUCCAUGACAUCGAGAAGGCUAAAGAAGAGGAAGCUACGCGCGUAACUGUUGCGCUAAAAAGUGCCAAUUGAUGAACUGAGAUCUGGGAGGUACAAUGAGAUGGGUAUCCAUGAACCAAAGGUUUGAUUCGCAGGGAAGUUAAUAGAUCUAGUUAGGUGAUUGAGAGUUAAUGGGUUCAACUUUAGUUCGUGGAUAUUGAGGUUUGAAGAAGGAUCUGUAUGUGUGGUGAAUUUGUGAGGCUAAAAUCUGUCCCCGAAUGCGAUUGAUUCAAGGGUAUUUAUACCUCAAUCAUCUUGGUAUGUUCUAGCUUACGUCCCCUUAGAUUGAACAGUAACGUGUUGUGGCAAAUAUGUAAGGCGACUCACUAAUGGUAGACAAUCGUUUAAUAAAUAUUAAGCCAGUUAGCUCAUGCCCUGUUCAUCGCGCAUGUCAUGUUUGUUAGUCCUAUCGCACGCACAAUCAUGAUCCUAAUGAUAUACCCCGUGUUUUAGAGAGGUCUACUUGUUGACUCCGAACUUUGAAGUAAUCAAUUUGUUUAGUCCAAGCAAAAGUAAAGUCUAAGGUGCUAGGUUUUGAUCUUUACAUCACUUGGUCUUGACUUUCCAAUGCUCGAUCGGACCGGAUAAAACAAUACAUAGAGUUUUUUCAUAUCUUGUAUUCACGUGUCGCGAUACCAAGGAAUCCUAUUAUUCUUAUGUUAUCACCUAAUAUUCUGAGACUAAUAUUAGAGUAAGAAACGGCUGGCCAUAUGUGCACUGGCUACGCAACAAAAGAAGGCAAAUUAUACCUAAAAGUUAAAAGGUAAGAUGAUAUGUUUCCUUGCUCCGAUUCAAAUAUAAAAUAAUAAAUUUAAAUACAAAGUAAUUUAUAGAAAAGUAAAUGAAAAAUUGUAUUAAAAUCUUUUAAGUAAAAAUUGAGAAAUGUUUCAUUCUCUGGUCUGAGUAAAAGAUACUUGAAUUAAAGAGAGAAAGCAAGAAGAGAGAAUAGGAGACAACGUUGUUUUCUUAGGAGACAACGUUGUUUUUUUUUGCUCGACUUCUUUUGUUGAACACGGAAUAGGCUGCUUGCCUCGGCCCGUCCUCAGUUUGGGAUAGUUUUUUCAAGGGUUUGUUCACUGAUUUUUUUUUGUGAGACUCGCGUUUUGAAUGUGAGCGAUCCUUUCCUCUGGUUAAGAUAUUUAAAGAUAUAGUGAGUAUUUAGCCUAUUCGAUUUUAAAUCGAAUUAAAUUGUUUAAAUUAAAAAAUUAAUAUUUUAAUUAUUUAUAAAAAUCGAAUCGAUUUUAAAUAAAAAUCAAUUUAAAUCAAAUUAAUCUGAUUUAUUUUGAUUUAAUUCAGUUUGAUCUAUUAAAUUAUUUAAUAAAUUUUUUAUUUUUUAUAUUUUAUUUUUAAUUUUUAAAAUUUAAUUAAAAUAUUUCAAUUUUAAUUAUAAUUUAAUUUUUUUAUAUUAUUAAAAAUAAUAUAUAUUACUAUUAAUCGAUUAAAUAAUAAUAUAUAUUACUAUUAAUUGAAGUUUAAUCGAUUUUAAAUUAUCGAAUCGGAAUAACUAGAAUAAAAAAAAUCAAAUUAAAAUAUUAAAUUAAUAGUACUCGCGUCUAAAAUAUUAGCUACCCAUGAGAUUGGUAUUUGAGUUACGCUUGCUUUUCAUUAGCAAUGGAAUCAUGGGUAAUUUAGACGGCAACUGCCAUGGACCGAUUCCCUAACUGAUUAGUGGCUACUUUUCUAUGCAUCAUUAUUUUGACUGGAACUGUAUAUAAAUAUAGUUAUUAAUACAAGUAGUAUAUAAAUGUAUCUAAUAAAAGUAGUAUAUAAAUGUAUACAUUAUCUUAAAUUAAUGUAAAUAGCAGUCGUUACUUGCCAUACAUUAUUCAUACACAUGAAUAAGAAAGAACACGAGGAUGUAAAAUCCAUAUUUAUUAUUAUAUUAUAUAUAUUAUAUACUCUUCUCCCUUCCAUUAUUUCAUCACAUAUACAUCACAGUAUUCACAUUACAAAACCCCACAAAAUCAAGCCUUCUGUCGGUUAGCCUUCACCACCUCUCCCCCUCCCAAAAGCAUUAAACCCCAGAAGGCCUCAAUUUUGCUUUCACAUGCUCAUGCAUCCGCGCGACCUUCCCACUGGCGCUCCCUCGGUCCCGGGAAGAACCACUGUCCACUUUGGCUACCGAAAACUUGGUCUACUUCUCUCUCUCGCACACCGAACGCCAACUCCUUCGCUUCUCUCUCCAUCUUAUUCACAAUAUUAUUUUUCCCUGCAAACAUACAUCAAAUAAAACCAGCAGCACACUUCAAUUCAAGCUACCGAGACAUAGAAAAUUAAGCUUCAUUUGAUUGAUCCAGGAGGAUACUAGAUCAGUUACCUGCAAGAGGAUACCUAGUGUUGCCUCUGGCAUUCACCUCGAAGCAGAGUACUUGAAGAUUACUGUUCCGUGAAGCUACGGAAGCCACCGGAUGUCCGGCAGGGACAACGAACACGGUGCCACGUCUCAAGCGCGAGCUUAUUUUCUGAUAAGUUGAGCCGGUUUGCGAUUCUCGGCCAACGUGAGGACAAGCCAUUUCAAAGUAGCCCUCACCGUCCACAACAACAGCUACCUUGGUCGCUCUCGAAUUGUAGUAGGGUCCAAUCAUAGAUCCCUGUACAUAUACACAACACAAUUUCAUGAAUUAUACAUCCUAUUCGAGUUGACGGAUAGGAAGGAAUUGAAAGGGAGAGAGAGAUACUCGUGUGAUAUUGGCAAAUGAGACACUUAUGUCAAGGUCUUCAAGCUGCUGCUCAUAAUACCUACGAUCCACUUCGUAAAGCUGACCGUGGUUGUUGCUUUGAACAGGGCGCUGGUGUAGAAGAUUAUAUGGGCCGCUUGAUUCUCCUCUAAAUGGCCAGAUGCCGCCACCUUCCUCACGCUGGCUCAUACCUUGGAUCUGUUCCUUGGAGGCUUUUGUAAAGAUCUCUUGGUUCUGAUUCAAUAUGCGCUCCAACUUCCUCCUGUCGGUCUGAAUUGAUGCCAAAAUGUCCAAACAAAGACCCAGUUAGCUUACUUGGAUAAAAGACAACCCAUUAAACAUAUAGAAGUUCACAGUAGCUCUUGGCACACACCUUAAGAGCAGCCUCCAGCAAUUCCCAGCUGAAUGCGCUGUAAAAGGACUCGUGAUCUUGACUACCUGGUGCCCUGAAAGCCUGUAUCAUGAAACCCGUUAUAAAAUGACCCAGGCUUUUGAUUUGCUUGCAAUUUGCAUAAUCUAAAUAAAAAGCUUACAAACGAAUCUUAGUGGGAACUUACCUCGGUUUCGCCGGGAAUAUUGACAGGUCUCAGGAAAGCGACAAUGAAAAGCCGCUCAUCUUCGUCCCUGUUAAUGACGUAAACAGUAGUGCCUGCACUAACCCUCAUGACAUCUCCUUCUUCGAUGUUGAAGCUUCGUCUCUUUUCCUCUUGGAUUCCAGUUAUAGUUCCCCGUCCUACACCAAAAUCAAUAAAACCGAUAAACUGAGUACGUAUCAAUAUCAAAUAUAGUAUAUAGUCUACUGCAAACAUAUGUUCAUACCACUAGCCACGAAAAGAACAGCGUGAGAGUCCCAAUGAGUUGGAGAUACAAAUGUUUGAGGAGCUGCUUCAACCACGGCAACACGGUAAUUCUCAAUACCACGUAGAACUCCCGAUUCCUCGGUGAACUUCUGGAGAACAUCGAGUCUUCCAUGUUCACUCCGCGCUUUUGAGGUGAAAUGACGCUCCUCAAAAACAUAAGGGUUCUCUUUUCUUCCCUCUUUCUCCUCUUCUCUUCCAUGAUGUUCUUUUUCAUACCUCAUUCGGCACCACUCACAUGGGCGUUCAUACAACUCCUGCAUUUUUUCAUCGCG